rnacentral:rRNA from 1 species
AUUGAACGCUGGCGGCAUGCCUUACACAUGCAAGUCGAACGGUAACAGGUCUUCGGAUGCUGACGAGUGGCGAACGGGUGAGUAAUACAUCGGAACGUGCCUAGUAGUGGGGGAUAACUACUCGAAAGAGUGGCUAAUACCGCAUGAGAUCUACGGGUGAAAGCAGGGGAUCGCAAGACCUUGUGCUACUAGAGCGGCCGAUGGCAGAUUAGGUAGUUGGUGGGAUAAAAGCUUACCAAGCCGACGAUCUGUAGCUGGUCUGAGAGGAGGAUCAGCCACACUGGGACUGAGAAAUGGCCCAGACUCCUACGGGAGGCAGCAGUGGGGAAUUUUGGACAAUGGGCGCAAGCCUGAUCCAGCAAUGCCGCGUGCAGGAUGAAGGCCUUCGGGUUGUAAACUGCUUUUGUACGGAACGAAAAGCCCCGGGUUAAUACCCUGGGGUCAUGACGGUACCGUAAGAAUAAGCACGGGCUAACCACGUGCUAGCAGCCGCGGUAA